UCGACACCCCACAAUUUCUGAUAUCUAUUUUGACAAUAAUCGAUUAUGUUUGAACACGGGAGUAUUGACAUUCUUUGAGUAUUUUUGUUAACAAAAACCAACUCUUAACCGAAAACAACCACUGUAUCACACAUGUAUCAGUCAGCACAUGUGUUUUCUCACAAAUAUGUCUUUAUGUGUAAUCUUAUUUAUAUUUAGUUUGAAGGAAAUGCAGCAGAGAAUAAUUCAGUUAUAGGUGAAAUACACAAUUUCAAAUUUUAACAGUGUUACCAAACGUAAUAUAUUCCAUUUACUGCUAUUUGAAAUAAAAUAUUGGGCAGAAACUGAGUGUACACGCUUCAGUUGUUCCCGUGAAGAUUCUAUUAACAGGAAACCAAUAUUGCAAUAAGCAUUAUGAGACCCUAUCUUAAUGUGGUCGACUUAAUA